ACUUGGCUUGGAUGAUCCAACAAAAAUUAGCCUUACUUCUCACAACUGUUACUCUUAACAGCCUAAGCCCCAACCCAUCAAGUUCCAGGGUGUAGAACAUCUGUCUGACAUGCUGGUCCACUACAACCAAACUUCCGAUAUCUUGAAUUAUGAAGUGUUGGACAUUCCUUUGCCAGAAUUGCAAGGCUUGAAAACUUUGAAAGUUGCUUUCCAUCACUCCACUAAAGAUGAGGUGGUUAUUCACACUAUUAGAUUGCCCGAACAGAGUACUGUAGGGGAUGUAAUCAACGACUUGAAAACCAAGGUUGAGCUGUCUCAUCCCAAUGCCGAGCUUUAACAGCUUGAGGCUUUUUGUCACAAGAUAUACAAGGUAAGCAACCCUUCCAUACAAUUCAUGCUGUAUUAGACCAUGCUGAAGCAGCUGAAGGAAAGAUGCACCUUGAGUAAGAAAGCCACAAAAGGAGUGACUGCAUUGGAGGUAGACCAAUGAUCUCGUGUUUUGCAUCUCCCGUUGUUGCUGUUGCAAUGCUUUUACAUUCAUUUUGGUGUUUUCACGUUCUAUGGUGCUUCUUUGGUUAGGUAUUUCUUCUUGGAGCUGUUGUUAAACUUAGGUCGACUGUUGUGACUUAUCCCCUGCUUGUUGUGAAGGUAACUGAUUUUGCUUUGUCUUUCAGCCAUUUUCACAUGAUGCAACUUUUUCCAUGUGUUUGUCUUUUUAGUUUUAAAUUUUUUCUGCUUGCUUCAAUGAUAAUAUGAGGAUGUAUUUAUGUGGUAUGAGCAGUUUUCUUGUAAUGGUUGUGAUUUUUUUUCUCCUACCGUUGGUAGAAUCUAUUUCUUUACUCUCUCUCUCUCUCUUGUGUGUGUUCUUUCUAAGGGAUAUGUGUUCCAUUUUUAUGCUGGAAAUUUUUGCAGGAAAUGCGAUGUUUCAAAAUAUUGAGUACUCUAGCUGAAGUUUGAUUGCAUUUUAAAAUUUUUUGUGCUUGGAUGGGAGUGGAUGUUUGUGGAGGAUUAUGCGUGUUGAUAAGAUGUCUUGUUUUGUCAAGUUGUUGUACUUAUUCUUUUGUGAUGGAUUUUUUUUUCUUUUUCUUUCUUGCAGAAGUGCAUCAUUUCCUCUACUAAUUUCAUAGUUCUUUGUAUUUUGUUAGUGUGUUUUAACAUUUUAAUCAAUGCUUGUGAUGGAAAUUUCUUCCUAUCGUGGUUUCGCUGGAAUAUGACUUUCUUUUGAACUUUCCUUGACGUGUUGAGCAACUACUACUGCAUGCUUAAUUUCUUUAACCAUUAUGCAAUACAUGAACUGUGUUAAGAAAUGGAACUAGCCAGCCAUGAUAUCUCUGUGGGCAAUGUUUGACUAUAUUGAACGAGAUUGCCGAGUUUGUGGCCUUGGUUGCAAUUUUGAAUUUUAGAUGUUCAUUGCAAUGUAUGCUACUCUUGCCAGUUGAGAUGUGGUAUGUAUUAUCAUUAGUCAUCCUACAUUAUCCUAUCUUCUUUUUCUGCCAUGGUGCCAUUUCAUUUUAAAUUGCAUAACCGAAAGUUUUCAACUUGUGGUUUAAAUCUUCAUUAUUUGUAUUUUAACAUGCUAAGGAAAAUUGUCAUUGCCAUUUUCCUUAGGACUUUUGCUUGAUUCCAGAGUCACCCUUUUAUCUGGA